GAGCGGCAGCACGGGGAGCUUGCUCCCUGGUGGCGAGCGGCGGACGGGUGAGUAAUGCAUAGGAAUCUGCCCGGUAGUGGGGGAUAACGUGGGGAAACCCACGCUAAUACCGCAUACGUCCUACGGGAGAAAGCGGAGGCUCUUCGGACUUCGCGCUAUCGGAUGAGCCUAUGUCGGAUUAGCUGGUUGGUAAGGUAACGGCUUACCAAGGCGACGAUCCGUAGCUGGUCUGAGAGGAUGAUCAGCCACACUGGGACUGAGACACGGCCCAGACUCCUACGGGAGGCAGCAGUGGGGAAUAUUGGACAAUGGGCGAAAGCCUGAUCCAGCCAUGCCGCGUGUGUGAAGAAGGCUUUCGGGUUGUAAAGCACUUUCAGCGAGGAAGAAAGCCUUUGGGUUAAUACCCCAGAGGAAGGACAUCACUCGCAGAAGAAGCACCGGCUAACUCCGUGCCAGCAGCCGCGGUAAUACGGAGGGUGCGAGCGUUAAUCGGAAUUACUGGGCGUAAAGCGCGCGUAGGUGGCUUGGCACGCCGGUUGUGAAAGCCCCCGGGCUCAACCCUGGGAACGGCAUCCGGAACGGCCAGGCUAGAGUGCAGGAGAGGAAAGUAGAAUUCCCGGUGUAGCGGUGAAAUGCGUAGAGAUCGGGAGGUAUUACCAGUGGAGAAGCAGGCUUUCUGCUGACAUCUGACACUGAGGUGCGAAUGCGUGGGUAGCAAACAGGAUAAGAUAACAUGGUAGUCCACGCAGUAAACGAUGUCGACUAGCCGUUGGGACCUUUAGGGAUUUAGUGGGCGCAGUUAACGCGAUAAGUCGACCGCCUGGGGAGUACGGCCGCAAGGUUAAAAACUCAAAUGAAUUGACGGGGGGCCCGCACAAGCGGUGGAGCAUGUGGUUUAAUUCGAUGCAACGCGAAGAACCUUACCUACCCUUUGACAUCCUGCGAACCCGGAAGAGAUUCCGGGGUGCCUUCGGGAACGCAGUGACAGGUGCUGCAUGGCAGUCGUCAGCUCGUGUUGUGAAAUGUUGGGUUAAGUCCCGUAACGAGCGCAACCCUUGUCCUUAUUUGCCAGCGAUUCGGUCGGGAACUCUAAGGAGACUGCCGGUGACAAACCGGAGGAAGGUGGGGACGACGUCAAGUCAUCAUGGCCCUUACGGGUAGGGCUACACACGUGCUACAAUGGCCGGUACAAAGGGUUGCGAGACCGCGAGGUGGAGCGAAUCCCAGAAAGCCGGCCUCAGUCCGGAUCGGAGUCUGCAACUCGACUCCGUGAAGUCGGAAUCGCUAGUAAUCGUGAAUCAGAAUGUCACGGUGAAUACGUUCCCGGGCCUUGUACACACCGCCCGUCACACCAUGGGAGUGGACUGCACCAGAAGUGGUUAGCUUAAC
rnacentral:rRNA from 1 species